UAGCGACGCCUAUCAGCCAAUGGCGACCACCAUUUGUGAGUCACGUAAAUUGUAGCAUUGUCAUGAACUUCUUUUUCUGCCAGGACGCCAAAUCGCCGCCUUGGCGACGCCAUGACAACUAUGUUUCCCUCCAGUCAGCUCUAUUCAAAACCAUACUUGUUACUAGUCCUAAGCUAUGCAUGUCUUUCUUUACCUAUUCUCCUAGAGUCAUUUUAAGCCUCCCCUCGCUCUUUUAGCUCCAAUUUGUAUCAGAUCACCCCUAUACUGGAGCAUUCAAAGGCCUCCAUUGCAUAUAUACAUGUUGUGGCUACAAAUCCUCUUUUCUCCUCAAAUAGUCCUUCUGAUGCAAGUGGUUCAGACCUAUCAUGGUGAUUCUUAGACAAGUAAGAUUAAUGGUCAGCUGUCAAAUUCCUUAUAUCAUGGAUGAAGACUAAAACCAUAGGCAUGAGAUAAGAUGUGGGUUUUUGGGUAAAAUCAGCUAAGUCACUGCUCAUUGUACUGUUCAUGUGGUACAUUGUUUAGAUAAUGUUUCAAUUGAAGUGUUAUGAAAUCUGUGGGAUCUUUUUUUUUUUUAGCGACUUCGAGGAAUCCUCUCUCUCUCUCCACUUUGAUUAUAUUCUCAAAAUUUUUGGCCAUGAUAGUACAGUUUGACUUUGAUUUUGUGGUCUUUGACUACUAAUUCGGCAUAAAAUGCUAAUCCUUUUCACUGACUAGGAAAUCUGCGGGAUCUUUUUUUUACUGACUAGUAAUUUCUAACUACCUAAUGCUAAUCCCUGAUGAUUCUAAUUAGUUGACUGUACUUCCAAAUGAAUGAUCAAUUGUAAAAUCAACCACCAAAUAGAACUUCAAUAAAUCAUUGUUAUCGAUUGAAAAACCAAAAGACUUCAAAGAGUAGGAUGAUAUUAUUUCAUAUGGCCGUCCCACCAAUUUGCUCAUAAAGUAUAGUGGGGGUGUAUAGAAAUUUGAUACAUUUUUGCAACCAAGAUAGAUUUCACACUUUCACCAAUCAAAGGUGCUUCCCUUGCAGGUGAUCAAACCAAUGCUCAAAAUCCCCUACAUUUUGUUGUUCUGGCAAAAUUCUCUUUUUAUUUUAUAUAGACUAAAAAUAGGUAGGAUAAAUAAAAUUGUAAAUGUUGAAUGAGAAGUUGGUGACAUAUGUCCUCCUAAGUUGAGAAAUGGAUUAAAAGAAGGGUGUGAUUGGAAGUUUGAUAAAAGAAGAAUAUGAUCAUAUUCAUGACCAAAUUAUUAGUGGUCCUAGCAUCUUAGAGAAUCUUAAAUAAUAUUCAUCUCUUGAGAUAACAGUUAAAAUUAAUUAUAUUUGAAGUACAUAUUAAUUUUCUGCAUGAUAUACAACUCUUAGUCAUAUUGGUAUUGUUAUAAAAAAGAAUCUAAAAUUCUUAAUUAUAGAUUUUAGAAAAAUCCUGAAAAUAAUCAUCUAGUCUGCACACUAUUGUAAAAGUCUGAAGUUUGAUAUGCUUUGGCUAUAAGGUAGAAAGUAAAUGUUUUAUCUCUUUUUAUCCUUUCUCCAGAUUUUUUUCAGGAAAUUCAUUGCGACAGGCCCCCAAGAAAAGUUUGUGUUCUUUUUUUUUUCCUUCCCCCUUUGGAUUAUUGGGAGAGAAACAAAUAAAACAAAACAAAAUGCUGCCAGAAAUAUUGUGGUGCUGCCACAAGGUAUGAAACUUACCACAGUCACAAUUUUAGCUGUAUCCAACGUCCAAGCUCCCAAUGAGAUUGCCUUCUUUUCUUCUGAAUGAAACUCAUUUGUCCUCACACAGGAAUUUUAUUCUAUAACUGAUUCCUGAAAAACAAGUAGCAGCUUCUCAAUUUGAGGAAACAAAUUCCUUGAAUAUUUGAAAAGCUUGACACAUAGCUGUGCCAUUUUCUUCUCUUUCUCAGAGAUUCACUUCGAACUGCACAUCAGAAAUUCCCACAUUUUGCGAAUAUUUUUUCUGGGUUUGGGAACAGGUUUGGGUCUCUGAAUGUGUUUCCAUUUCUAAGGUCGCUUUGUUGGCGUCACCUUGCAUUGAAGCCCCCUCCAAUGCAUUGGGUUGCCUAGGCAUCCAAGGCGACCAAGGUGCUUGGACGCCUAAGCGACACUUAGGUUACGCCUUGACAACUAUAAGCGACAAUUAGGUUAUGCCUUGACAACUAUGAUCUAAAUGUAUUUCCAAUAUAUAUUUACAGCAAAUUUGACUAGCAUAUUUGCUGGACAUGUGAGAAGUACAUCGAGGCAUUAUUUCCUUUUCUGUAAGACUUGUGUCGCUUCCAUGCCAUCAUUAUAUCAAAUGCCCUAAGUUGCAAUAUUCUAGCACAAUUGUUCAGUCAAGACAAAUGAACUAUCUUCUAAUGGAAUAUUGUUGAGACAUUCUGCAAUUGUUCAGUCAAGACAAACAAACUAUCUUUUGAUGGAUGCUUUGGACCAUUCUUCUGGAGGUGCAUACGCAAGGGAAUUAGCUUGUGGCCGUGGCUGAAGCAGACAACAUAACCCUGUGCAUAUGCAAGGGAAUUAGCUCAUGGCCUUGGCUGAAGCAAACAACAUAACCCUGUAAGCAAGAUGUCGAGAUUUGGACUUUUCUCAAAUCUGAUCCAUAAUAUUUUCCUCUAGCUACUCCUUUGAAGAUGCUUUUUGCACUUAUCUCAAGCUUUAUCAGAGUCGAGCUUCUAAAAAUUAUUUACGAAUAUGGAGCACUGUCGUGAGGCAUCAAUAUGUACUGCAGCUGUGGUCACAUGUAGCUCUCAUUUAAGCGCUUCAAAGGCUAAAGAAAGCAUUUAGAAAUAUUUCUUUCUUACUUUUAGCCAGAACAUUUGUGUGAAUGCUGUCGGUCCCCGUAUCUACUUUCUUUGGAAGUACCAUGAAGUAUCAAGGUAGUUAGCAGCCUCUUUACUUUGAA